AUGUGGCUCCUCAGUAUCUGGGUUGUAUGGGGAUCAAUUCUAACAGACCUGAGUCAUGGAAAUUCAAUCACUCAGUUACUCUCCUCAGAUUGUCGCACAAAAGGCGAGGCAAUGACUCUAACUUGUAUUUAUAGUACGACAGAGAACUAUUACUGGUUAUACUGGUACAGACAGCAGCCAGGCACACAACCCGAGUAUAUACUGAGGAAACAUGCUAAUGGGAAUGAGGAUAAAGCAGAUUUUGCUAAAAACCGUUUCUCUGUAGAACUCCAGACUGCAAACAAAUUCACCAAUUUGACUAUCACUAGACUACAACUGAUAGACGCUUUCGUGUACUACUGUGCUUUCAGGGACACAGUGAUGAGGAACUGUCUCACACCUGUUCAAAAACUGCUUUUUGACCAGAGGUUGAUUUGUCUUUUGAGGUUUUCUCAGCAUCUUGGAAGUUACUAUGUGCUGCAGGAAGUUAAACACACACCGAAAGGAAACCACAUUAACAUCAGGCUGUCAACCAAUGAUUCUCGGCACUGCUGA